UACGAAGGGGGCUAGCGUUGCUCGGAAUUAUUGGGCGUAAAGGGUAGGUAGGUGGUCUCAUUUGUCUGGGGUGAAAGCCUUGAGCUUAACUCAAGAAGUGCCCCAGAAACGGUGAGACUAGAGUCCUGGAGAGGGUCGUGGAAUUCCCGGUGUAGCGGUGAAAUGCGUAGAGAUCGGGAGGAACACCAGAGGCGAAAGCGGCGACCUGGACAGGUACUGACACUCAACUACGAAAGCGUGGGGAGCAAACAGG
rnacentral:rRNA from 1 species